AGUGAACGCUGGCGGUAGGCCUAACACAUGCAAGUCGAACGGCAGCACAGUAAGAGCUUGCUCUUACGGGUGGCGAGUGGCGGACGGGUGAGGAAUAUAUCGGAAUCUACUUUUUCGUGGGGGAUAACGUAGGGAAACUUACGCUAAUACCGCAUACGACCUACGGGUGAAAGCAGGGGAUCUUCGGACCUUGCGCGAUUGAAUGAGCCGAUGUCGGAUUAGCUAGUUGGCGGGGUAAAGGCCCACCAAGGCGACGAUCCGUAGCUGGUCUGAGAGGAUGAUAAGCCACACUGGAACUGAGACACGGUCCAGACUCCUACGGGAGGCAGCAGUGGGGAAUAUUGGACAAUGGGCGCAAGCCUGAUCCAGCCAUACCGAGUGGGUGAAGAAGGCCUUCGGGUUGUAAAGCCCUUUUGUUGGGAAAGAAAAGCAGCAGGCUAAUACCCCGCUGUUCUGACGGUACCCAAAGAAUAAGCACCGGCUAACUUCGCG
rnacentral:rRNA from 1 species